UACAGAGGGUGCAAGCGUUGUUCGGAAUUAUUGGGCGUAAAGCGCGUGUAGGCGGCUUUGCAAGUCGGGUGUGAAAGCCCUCAGCUCAACUGAGGAAGUGCGCCCGAAACUGCAGAGCUUGAGUGCCGGAGAGGGUGGCGGAAUUCCCCAAGUAGAGGUGAAAUUCGUAGAUAUGGGGAGGAACACCGGUGGCGAAGGCGGCCACCUGGACGGUAACUGACGCUGAGGCGCGAAAGCUAGGGGAGCAAACGGG
rnacentral:rRNA from 1 species